UACGUAGGGGGCAAGCGUUAUCCGGAUUUACUGGGUGUAAAGGGAGCGCAGACGGCAGUGCAAGUCUGAUGUGAAAGCCCGGGGCUCAACCCCGGAACUGCAUUGGAAACUGUACAGCUUGAGUAUCGGAGAGGUAAGCGGAAUUCCUAGUGUAGCGGUGAAAUGCGUAGAUAUUAGGAGGAACACCGGUGGCGAAGGCGGCUUACUGGACGACAACUGACGUUGAGGCUCGAAAGCGUGGGGAGCAAACAGGAUUAGAUACCCUGGUAGUCCCU
rnacentral:rRNA from 1 species